UACAGAGGGGGGCAAGCGUUGUUCGGAAUUACUGGGCGUAAAGGGCGCGUAGGCGGCCUGCUAAGUCGAACGUGAAAUCCCCGAGCUCAACUCGGGAACUGCGUCCGAUACUGGCAGGCUUGAAUCCGGGAGAGGGGAGCGGAAUUCCAGGUGUAGCGGUGGAAUGCGCAGAUAUCAGGAAGAACACCAAUGGCGAAGGCAGCUCUCUGGGACGGUACUGACGCUGAGACGCGAAAGCGUGGGGAGCGAACAGG
rnacentral:rRNA from 1 species